CUGAUAUGACGUGCUUGCACUGAAUUGACGUUGGAUUACCAGUGAGCGGCGGACGGGUGAGUAACACGUGGGCAACCUGCCCUGAAGCGGGGGAUAACAUCUGGAAACAGGUGCUAAUACCGCAUAACAACGAAAACCACAUGGUUUUCGUUUCAAAGAUGGUUUCGGCUAUCACUUCAGGAUGGGCCCGCGGUGCAUUAGCUAGUUGGUAAGGUAACGGCUUACCAAGGCAAUGAUGCAUAACCGAGUUGAGAGACUGAUCGGCCACAAUGGAACUGAGACACGGUCCAUACUCCUACGGGAGGCAGCAGUAGGGAAUCUUCCACAAUGGGCGCAAGCCUGAUGGAGCAACACCGCGUGAGUGAAGAAGGGUUUCGGCUCGUAAAGCUCUGUUGUUGGAGAAGAACGUGCGUGAGAGUAACUGUUCACGCAGUGACGGUAUCCAACCAGAAAGUCACGGCUAACUACGUGCCAGCAGCCGCGGUAAUACGUAGGUGGCAAGCGUUAUCCGGAUUUAUUGGGCGUAAAGCGAGCGCAGGCGGUUGCUUAUGUCUGAUGUGAAAGCCUUCGGCUUAACCGAAGAAGGGCAUCGGAAACCGGGCGACUUGAGUGCAGAAGAGGACAGUGGAACUCAUGGGGGAAGGGGG
rnacentral:rRNA from 1 species